AGUUGUUAUCCUGAGACUAUUUAUACCAGAAAAUAUUCUUUCCGACUCGUGUAUAAGGUUUAUUUACUAAACAGUGAGUGAGUUUAGAAUCGAUUUUCGAAAUUAAGGUCAAAAUAUACAGAUUUAGUGAAAGCCAUCUCUAAUGAGCUGAACUUGAGUUUUUUUUUUGUUUUGUUUUUUAUCAAAAAAAAAAAUGUAAUUGUUGCCAG